CCUGAGAAACCCAAAAGCUCGAAUGCGGAGAUUCAUCGUCAGCGAUACUGGUACGUGUGCGGUUCGCGAUGCGCCUUGACUUCGGUCCUGUGGCACGCGUCCGUAUGUUUUUAUUGCCUGGUAUCGUCGGCGUGCACUUCUCCGCUAGUAGGACGUCGCGACCCGUUGGGUGUCGGUCUACGGCCCGGGUGUAUGCCUGUCCCGUGUGCGCUUUACGGCGUCACCGCGGGGCAGACCCCGGCUGCCCGACCGGCUGCCCGGCGGUACUCAAAUGGUAUCUGGCCGCAAAUAUCUUAACUGCGUCCGGGCCGUCGCCAGCGAGGCGAGAUUUCCCGAAUGUACGGAUCUGAUGCCGUCAUCGGGGGUAGCCAGCUGUUGUUUGACGGUAUCCUAGGACUGGCUAUUAAAAUUGUGAUAUCGGUCAGCGACGCUUCUGCUUUGGGUACUUUCAGGA
rnacentral:rRNA from 1 species